rnacentral:rRNA from 1 species
GAUGAACGCUGGCGGCGUGCUUAACACAUGCAAGUCGAACGGGAAUUACUUUAUUGAAACUUCGGUCGAUUUAAUUUAAUUCUAGUGGCGGACGGGUGAGUAACGCGUGGGUAACCUGCCUUAUACAGGGGGAUAACAGUCAGAAAUGGCUGCUAAUACCGCAUAAGCGCACAGAGCUGCAUGGCUCAGUGUGAAAAACUCCGGUGGUAUAAGAUGGACCCGCGUUGGAUUAGCUUGUUGGUGGGGUAACGGCCCACCAAGGCGACGAUCCAUAGCCGGCCUGAGAGGGUGAACGGCCACAUUGGGACUGAGACACGGCCCAGACUCCUACGGGAGGCAGCAGUGGGGAAUAUUGCACAAUGGGGGAAACCCUGAUGCAGCGACGCCGCGUGAAGGAAGAAGUAUCUCGGUAUGUAAACUUCUAUCAGCAGGGAAGAUAGUGACGGU